UAAGAGGUCCCGCCUGCCCUGUGACCAUGUGUUUAACGGCCGCGGUAUUUUGACCGUGCAAAGGUAGCGCAAUCACUUGUCUUUUAAAUGAAGACCUGUAUGAAUGGCACGACGAGGGCUUGACUGUCUCCUUUUUCUAGUCAAUGAAAUUGAUCUCCCCGUGCAGAAGCGGGGAUUUUACCAUAAGACGAGAAGACCCUGUGGAGCUUUAGACACUUAGGCAGAAUAUGUCAAAAAACCCCCCCCCCCCCGAACAGAACUUAAUAUUCCCUGCCCUAAUGUCUUUGGUUGGGGCGACCUCGGAAAACCAAAAAACUCCCGAGCGGAACGAGAAAACCAAACUCCAAAACUUAGAACCACCCCUCUAAUUAACAGAAUAUCUGACCGUUAAGAUCCGGCUAUUUGCCGAAUGACGAACCUAGUUACCCCAGGGAUAACAGCGCAAUCCUCUUUAAGAGUCCAUAUCGCCAAGAGGGUUUACGACCUCGAUGUUGGAUCAGGAC
rnacentral:rRNA from 1 species